AUUGAACGCUGGCGGCAGGCCUAACACAUGCAAGUCGAACGAGUGGCGGACGGGUGAGUAAUGUCUGGGAAACUGCCUGAUGGAGGGGGAUAACUACUGGAAACGGUAGCUAAUACCGCAUACCAUACGAUGUGCCCAGAUGGGCUUAGCUUGUUGGUUGGGUAACGGCUCACCAAGGCGCCGAUCCCUAGCUGGUCUGAGAGGAUGACCAGCCACACUGGAACUGAGACACGUGCCAGACGCCUACGGGAGGCAGCAGUGGGGAAGAGUGGACAAUGGGCGCAAGCCUGAUGCAGCCAUGCCGCGUGUAUGAAGAAGGCCUUCGGGUGGUAAAGUACUGGCAGCGGGGAGGCGUUACCCGCAGAAGAAGCACCGGCUAACUCCGUGCCAGCAGCCGCGGUAAUUC
rnacentral:rRNA from 1 species